AGUCACUUUUACCUGAAUUACCUUUUGUCUCUAAGUUCUUUUUUGUUGGUAGAGAUAUUAGAAAUAUUGCAUUUCCCAAAGUAGGCUUCUUAAAGAAUACAUGCACACUUUAAGUUGCUUUUCUGUAUUAUCUAUAAAACCUGUAAAGCUUUAAAUUGAAAUUUAUUUCCUUGUUAAAAUGCUUUCCUCCACUGCUCAUGUACACAGGCUCAUGGUGUUAAGUUACUCAUGAAUGAUCAGCAGCUGCUGUUAAUUUGUUUUGUGCUUUUUAGAAGCACUGUAUUUUGUAUAUAUAUAUGCGUCUAGUUAUUUUUGCCCAAAAUGACUGUUACUCACUCUUGAUUCACAGUUUCAUAAAGCUCCCGUAAGAAUAAAAAUGUCCAAUUGAAUGCAUUCAGUCUUUUCCCAGUUUCCCAAAUCUUA
rnacentral:lncRNA from 1 species